rnacentral:lncRNA from 1 species
GGGGAACUGACAAGAAAGCUGGAGAGGGACAUUCAUUAGGGAGUGCAGCGAUAGGAGAAGGGCUAAAAGCUUUGUACCAAAAGAGGGUAGGUUUAAAUUAGAUAUAAAUAAGAAAUUCUUUACACAGAACAUGGUGAGGCCCUGGUACAGCUGCUCAGAGAAGCUGUGGUGCCCCAUCCCUGGAGGUGCUCAAGGCCACGUUGGAUGGGGCCCUGGGCAGCCUGAGCUUGGGAUGGGGCAGCCCUGCCCAUGGCCAGGGGGUUGGACUAGAUGAUUUUUAAGGGCCUUUUCAACCCAAACCAUUCUGAUUCUUUGAUGAAAAGGCUACCCGAAUUCAGGAAAACACUUUCAUCCAGCAAACUUUAUUGUUUUAGUAAUUUACCCCUGAAGACUUACUUUUGAAGAGAUGGGCUUGGGCCUUCUUAACAUCCUCUUUAAAUCUUUGCACAUGCUCCAACCUGCCCCUAUGUGGUGCUGGACAUGGACACAGCCAAGUCCUACAAAUACGGCCAGAGGAGCAAGUGGCACGAUGGCUGAAAUGAGACAGGAGAAGAAAGAUUACAUCAUACACACUUAUUUCAGGGGUGACAAUAUGACUGCCUUAUUUUCUGCAAGGAACGUGUAACACAAGAUGACAUUUGCUUUUCAGGUAGGUGGGUGGCUUCUACCUCUGCAUGCACAAUACACAGAAAAGGCUCUGGUCACACACAGAGAGACACAGAGCUGAGUUAAAACCUUGGCACAAAUCACUCUGUGGCAGAAGCACCCCAAUAAGCAGACCCUUCCCCAAGAGGCGUGAGAAGGCUGUGAAUCAGAACAUGAUGUGUUUCACCACAUGAGAUAUUAGCCCAGAAGAUAGCCAGGGGUAAAUCUGUUAUUGCUGGGUGGACUUAAUGGCUCCUUACAAUCGAAUUGUGUAUUCACAACCUUUAUGGAAACUGGAACAACUUGAGCUGCUGUGGGUUAACCCAUUUGUGUACCCGUGGCCUCAGCCUUAAGCAAACACCUACUUUUAUUUCCACAGCAGUUACAUGACACAAAUCUGAGAUGCUUCUCAGGAGAGAGCCAGCCCAGUUUCUUGGCCCCUAAAGCUCAGAGCAAUUUAACUGAGCACAGGAGACUUCAAGUGCGCACACAUCACAGACCUUCACUUCCCACGUCUCAGGAUCAAAUGACAACUCGUAUCUUGCACCUUUAGAGGACUUGUCCUCCAAGCACUUUUCAGCCAGAUACAGAGUAUUCCCUGCAGAAUCUCUUCAUUGGAAGGAAGCUGAGACGUAUAGGCAGGGAGGGAGGUGUGACCUGCUCCCAGAGCUGAAGAGUUUGCUGACCCUACAGAUGUGUGCAUCCAGGCUGCACCCACUGGGACUGUGACAGCUGCAAAGACACAACUUCUCGGCACUGACACGGGUAGAGGAACAAGCUCUGGGCUGUGACUGUCCACCAGUACCAGACACCAAGAGACAUCCGGUCCAGGAGGCUGAU